rnacentral:lncRNA from 1 species
GAUUCUACAGGUCAGAGAGACGUGUUUUGUCUGAUUCUACAGGUCAGAGAGACGUGUUUUGUCUGAUUCUACAGGUCAGAGAGACGUGUUUUGUCUGAUUCUACAGGUCAGAGACGUGUUUUGUCUGAUUCUACAGGUCAGAGACGUGUUUUGUCUGAUUCUACAGGUCAGAGAGACGUGUUUUGUCUGAUUCUACAGGUCAGAGAGACGUGUUUUGUUAGCAGAUUUUGAAGACCUCCUUGCUCACCUCCAAUUUACUCAUGUCAAAAAAUUGUAACGAUAACUCUUCUAUAUACAGGAAGUACCAUUACUGAGUCUAUAUACAGG